UGGCGGGUUCCCCCUAGGGAGCUUGGCUGAUUGGGCUGGGGCUCUGAAUCGCUCCCUCCGCCGAGGUCUGCGCCUGCCAUCUUGGCCGGUGCCCAGCAGUUAGCCCCUGCCUCUGUGGGAGAGGCAGCCUGGCUGGUGGCCAGGCGGCCAGCGAGCCCUGGUGCAGGAGGUGCCUUCCGGUGGGAGGAGCUCGGGGUGGGGGGUUCGGCCGUGCCCAGUAGCUCUCCCUUCGACCUUAGGUCCGUUCUGGCAUCUUCCCCCAGUGCCGCCCACCGCGGAGCCCAGGUGUCCUCCAGCUGACUCAUUAAGCGUGAACUCUCCCCUGAGCACCUGUUCGAUGUGCCGCCCCUGGAGUCCACUCUCGCCCUCCAUCCCCAGGUUUCUGCUGUGUAGACAAGCACAGGCUGAUUCAGACUUCUCUCUGUGUGUGAGUCGUCUCCUGGUGGGUCGUCAGCGCUCUCUGCUUGGAGCAGACCCGGCUCAUGGCUCUGUUGUUUUUCCCAAGGAGUUUCAGCAAAUACACAACGGUGUGCAGAAGGCAGUACAGAACAGUGGACACGGUGAAUGACCAAGGUCGGUCACUGUACAUAAAACACUCAACGCCCAACGCCCGUGCCACGGAAUUCCGCCGAGCCUGCAGGAUUGCUGCAUUGCCAGCAUGCAAUACACGCAUCAUUCAAAAUAAACCCUCUGCAUUUUCUGGAACAAGGAGGUCUGGAGCCCAAGACCUCCGGGUGGAGGCGCGGGUCGGAGGACGUAGCCCGCCGGCUCUGGGUCCCUCCGCGCAAGC